rnacentral:lncRNA from 1 species
CUGAAUGUCCAGGAAUUGUCGUAUCUGAUGGAUGGCUCCUUCCCAAAUAAGCGCACAUCAGAUAAAUAAAAAAUUCAUCAGAAGGAUGAAGGUCAAAGGAGCUGCUGCAAGUAUUACAUUUCCAUAUUAAGUAACUUCUCAAUUUUCUAUUUGCUCUAGAAAUAUCAGAGAUGAGAGAGUUUAUCAGAUAUCGAUUCCUUUUUUUCUCUUUCUUUCUUUCUUUUUUAGUGUGUGUGUGAAAGCCAUGUUGUCAUUAACUAAACUAUAACCAAAUACCUUUGACAUAACAUAAUGUGAGUAUGACAGACUCAUGAUGAAUUAAAAAACUGAUAUCUGGGAACAGCAGCCAGUAGAAAGAUUCUCUCCUUGUUAGUUACAGAUGCUUCCAGUGCUGGAACAUUAUUUAACAUGAUGUAGACUAAAAUCAAAGCCAUAGCUCGUAGUCCAUAUUUAUAACUUUAUAAUUAUGGUUUGUUAUCUUGGGUAUGUCAUUGCAGUGUGGGAGAUCAUUGUGAGAUAUCUUGUCAGUCUUGGCAAGUUGUCACAUAUUGUACUAGUAUUCAUUAUAACAUAAUUAUAACAUAAUUCCCAGGCUUCUAAUUUUCUGUCUCCUUAAGUUGCUAAUAGAAUUUCAGUAUUCUGAAGGUCUUUCAGAUUUUUUUCUUAAAUUUUUACAGAAUAUAUAAUUAGACUGUUCCUUUUUGCAGAAUUACUAAAGGUACUUGGUGCAGUUUUGUGUGAGUGGCAGGGAAGAAUAUACAUCACAACAGAUUUAUGAAAGAUGUUGGAAACUUUCAAAUUUUAAAGAAUAUUUUGCCAUCAGAAUACAACUAGCAUGUUGAAACUUACAAUGAGUAGGAAGACCAUGAGGAAGAAAAACGCUUCAGUACCAGCUUCUGACUGGCAAGACCCGAGGCAACAAAAGAUCAUAUGAAGUGAUGGGUGGAAGAACUUUGCAGUCAUUUUCUGGCCACAUUUAGAAUUGAAAGAACAUAUCUAACUGAAACCAAAUGGUUUAUUUAAAGGGUUGACUUAAGAUGUCAUCAUAAUACAAAGCCAACUAGCGACAAAAGGUCCACAUACCUCAUAGAAAGCACACAGCUUGUCCUACAAAAAUGACAAUCAAGAUAAGAC